rnacentral:rRNA from 1 species
CAGCAGCCGCGGUAAUACAGAGGGUGCGAGCGUUAAUCGGAUUUACUGGGCGUAAAGCGUGCGUAGGCGGCUUCUUAAGUCGGAUGUGAAAUCCCUGAGCUUAACUUAGGAAUUGCAUUCGAUACUGGGAAGCUAGAGUAUGGGAGAGGAUGGUAGAAUUCCAGGUGUAGCGGUGAAAUGCGUAGAGAUCUGGAGGAAUACCGAUGGCGAAGGCAGCCAUCUGGCCUAAUACUGACGCUGAGGUACGAAAGCAUGGGGAGCAAACAGGAUUAGAUACCCCAGUAGUCCAUGUCUCUUAUAC